GACGAACGCUGGCGGCGUGCCUAAUACAUGCAAGUAGAACGCACAGUUUAUACCGUAGCUUGCUACACCAUAGACUGUGAGUUGCGAACGGGUGAGUAACGCGUAGGUAACCUGCCUGGUAGCGGGGGAUAACUAUUGGAAACGAUAGCUAAUACCGCAUAAUAUUAAUUAUUGCAUGAUAAUUAAUUGAAAGGUGCAAUUGCACCACUACCAGAUGGACCUGCGUUGUAUUAGCUAGUAGGUGAGGUAACGGCUCACCUAGGCGACGAUACAUAGCCGACCUGAGAGGGUGAUCGGCCACACUGGGACUGAGACACGGCCCAGACUCCUACGGGAGGCAGCAGUAGGGAAUCUUCGGCAAUGGACGAAAGUCUGACCGAGCAACGCCGCGUGAGUGAAGAAGGUUGUCGGAUCGUAAAGCUCUGUUGUAAGAGAAGAACGGGUGUGAGAGUGGAAAGUUCACACUGUGACGGUAGCUUACCAGAAAGGGACGGCUAACUACGUG
rnacentral:rRNA from 1 species